GUCCACGCCGUAACGAUGUACACUAGACUGGUGCGGUUUGACGCCGUAUCAGUCGCAGUAAACGAUAAGUGUACCGCCUGGGGAGUACGGUCGCAAGGCUAAACUCAAAUGAAUUGACGGGGCUCACACAAGCGGUGGAGCAUGUUGCUUAAUUCGAGGCAACGCGAAGAACCUUACCUGGGCUUGACAUGUACGGAUCAACUCCGUGAAAGCGGAGCCACAGUCGCAAGACCGGAACGUGCACAGGUGCUGCAUGGCUGUCGU
rnacentral:rRNA from 1 species